rnacentral:rRNA from 1 species
UACGAAGGGGGCUAGCGUUGUUCGGAAUUACUGGGCGUAAAGGGCGCGCAGGCGGCUCUUCAAGUCAGAUGUGAAAGCCCCGGGCUCAACCUGGGAACUGCAUUUGAGACUGGAGAGCUUGAGUUCGGGAGAGGAGAGCGGAAUUCCCAGUGUAGAGGUGAAAUUCGUAGAUAUUGGGAAGAACACCGGUGGCGAAGGCGGCUCACUGGCUCGUAACUGACGCUCAGGCGCGACAGCGUGGGGAUCAAACGGG